AUUUUGUAUCAUUGUCUCUUGGCAUGUCACUUCUAUUUUGUUAUUGUUUUUUUAAUAAUUAUUAUCCAAAGCAAUAUUUUCCUUUGCGUUAGUUGCAGCUUUGUUUUUCUAAUGAUGGUAUCUGAAACUUCUUUCUGGUGCUAUGUUUUCUUAAGAUGUGCUAUAAUAAAUAUAAAUGGUUAGAAGAAAAGUUUUUAUGAAACCAUCACCGGAGCUUAGUACUAGACUUGGAUCUGAAUUGAUGAACUGAGGUGAAGUAUUGCUUAGCUGAUCUGUCUCAAGCAGCACAGCGUGUAUGAGAUCUCGUGGAUGGUAAAGCCACAGGGGGACUAAAUAACAGUAUAAUUAGCUAUAGAGGAGGAAGAAUUGGCAACAGCAAUGCAGUCCUUGAAUCGAUUAAGAGAUAGAUGUCUGACUAAGGGCGCAUUCUCAUAGCCUUUUUUUUUU